rnacentral:rRNA from 1 species
UACAGAGGUCCCAAGCGUUGUUCGGAUUCAUUGGGCGUAAAGGGUGCGUAGGUGGCAUCGUAAGUCGGGUGUGAAAUCUCGGGGCUUAACUCCGAAACUGCAUUCGAUACUGCGGUGCUUGAGGACUGGAGAGGAGACUGGAAUUUACGGUGUAGCAGUGAAAUGCGUAGAUAUCGGGAGGAACACCAGUGGCGAAGGCGAGUCUCUGGGAUGAUGCUGACGCUGAUGCGCGAAAGCCAGGGGAGCAAACGGG